GACGAACGCUGGCGGCGUGCUUAACACAUGCAAGUCGAACGGAAAGGCCUGCUUUCCCUUGUGGAUUGCGGGUACUCGAGUGGCGAACGGGUGAGUAACACGUGAGUGAUCUGCCCCCAACUUGGGUAUAAGCCUGGGAAACUGGGUCUAAUUCCCGAUAGGACUGCAGGGUGGUGCCUGUGGUGGCAAACGAUUUUCUAGUGGUUGGGGAUGAGCUCGCGGCCUAUCAGCUUGUUGGUGGGGUAAUGGCCUACCAAGGCGGCGACGGGUAGCCGGCCUGGGAGGGUGGACGGCCACAUUGGGACUGAGAUACGGCCCAGACUCCUACGGGAGGCAGCAGUGGGGAAUAUUGCACAAUGGGCGGAAGCCUGAUGCAGCGACGCCGCGUGGGGGAUGACGGCCUGCGGGUUGUAAACUCCUUUCGACCGCGAGGAAGCCACCUGGUUGGAAGGGUGGUGACGGUAGUGGUAGAAGAAGCACCGGCUAACUACGU
rnacentral:rRNA from 1 species